UGGCUCAGUUGGUUGAGCAUGGUUUUUGCAACGCCAGGGUUGUGGGUUUGAUUCCCAC
rnacentral:tRNA from 1 species